rnacentral:lncRNA from 1 species
GAGAGUGGGCAGAUCGGCCCUCCAUCAUGCGCAGAGGCAGGAAGGGGAGUGGCCGAGGAAGGCUGGUCAGGGCGUGGAUCUUGAUUCCAGGAGGCAUCAAUGUUCCUUGUUUAGUAAAUAAGUCGGUUCAUCUUUAUUCACGGAGUGUCUCCGUUUGCCUGGCCCUGGAGAUGGAAAGCUGAAUGAGGACAGCUGAGUUCCAGCUCCUGUGGAGAAGGCAGGAGACAGACAGAGUUAACUUGUGUGCCAGUAACCUCAGAGGGUGCUGGGAAGGAAACAGACAAGCAAGAUGAUGGACCCGGGUCAUUCCUGAGGAUAGGUGACAAUUGUCUGGAGGUUGUAUGGUGAGCAGUUACCCCAGGAAAAGACCCAGGGACCUGGACAUCAACACAGGAACCAGCUAGAGCCCCAGAGUAAGAACAAACUGAAGACUUUGAGAUCUGACGGAAGCCAGGGAGCGUGGACUUUAAUAAGGUCUGGAGACAUGCUGAUCUUUCAGAGUUUAUAGGCCUUAUUCACGCCGCAGCUCUCUGUGAUGCCGGCGCCAUAGUUUAUAUGUUCUUAUGUGUCCUGUGCAUGCAAGCCUAUGAUAUACAAUCAAGACCCUUCACCACAGAGCCCCAACGCAGCCUUUUGCAUCUACAGCCACCUGCCUCCUCCUGAGAGCUCCACUCAGUAGCCACCAUUCCUGCGUCCUCCAUUUCUGACAUGUCAAGAAUGCCAUAUAGUUGCUGACUUGGAAUUCACAGGAUGGAUAACAGUAUGGAUGGUCCACAAUCUGUUUAGCUAUUUGCCCAUGAAGACCACUUGGAUUGUUUCCAAUUAGGAGCUUUAUAAAUGAAGCUGCUAUGAACAUUCCUGCACAGGCUUUUGUGAGCAUCAGUCUACUCCUCUCUGGGACAAGUAGGACCCUUGUGAUUUUGUAGGACAUUGUCAUCCUAUUUGC